UGUUGACCAGGGUGUAGGAGCGGGUGCCCUGGAAGGAGAAGAGGGUCCCGUCGAAGGUGGAGAAGUGGGGGUCUCCCAUAACCCAGCAUACAGCCUUUGACAGAGCCUCACACACCGCCUGGUCCUUCUCCACCACACAGCGCUCCUUUUCCCUGCACUCCAUGUCCACACAUGGAUCUGGACACAAAAAAUACAGAAACGUAGGUAAGAAGGAUCUUCACACUGUGAACCCCCUCCCGCAGUGAAAGAAUUACUGCAGUACUGCUGAAACCAUCCAGGGUGUCCACAGACCAAUCACUG